rnacentral:rRNA from 1 species
UACGUAGGGUGGCGAGCGUUAAUCGGAAUUACUGGGCGUAAAGCGUGCGCAGGCGGUUUUGUAAGCCAGAUGUGAAAUCCCCGGGCUCAACCUGGGAAUGGCAUUUGGGACUGCAAGGCUUGAGUGCGGCAGAGGAGACUGGAAUUCCUGGUGUAGCAGUGAAAUGCGUAGAUAUCAGGAGGAAUACCGAUGGCGAAGGCAGGUCGUCUGGGCUGACACUGACGCUCAUGCACGAAAGCGUGGGGAGCAAACAGG